ACAGCAGUAGCCGCGGGAAUACGGAGGGUGCAAGCGUUAAUCGGAAUUACUGGGCGUAAAGCGCACGCAGGCGGUCUGACAAGUCAGAUGUGAAAUCCCCGGGCUUAACCUGGGAACUGCAUUUGAAACUGUCAGGCUGGAGUCUUGUAGAGGGGGGUGGAAUUCCAGGUGUAGCGGUGAAAUGCGUAGAGAUCUGGAGGAAUACCGGUGGCGAAGGCGGCCCCCUGGACAAAGACUGACGCUCAGGUGCGAAAGCGUGGGGAGCAAACAGGAUUAGAUACCCGAGUAGUCCCUGUCUCUUAUAC
rnacentral:rRNA from 1 species